rnacentral:rRNA from 1 species
CCUACGGGAGGCUGCAGUGAGGAAUAUUGGUCAAUGGGCGCGAGCCUGAACCAGCCAAGUCGCGUGAAGGAUGACUGUCUUAUGGAUUGUAAACUUCUUUUAUACGGGAAUAACAAGAGUCACGUGUGACUCCCUGCAUGUACCGUAUGAAUAAGCAUCGGCUAACUCCGUGCCAGCAGCCGCGGUAAUACGGAGGAUGCGAGCGUUAUCCGGAUUUAUUGGGUUUAAAGGGUGCGUAGGCGGUUUGUUAAGUCAGCGGUGAAAUCUAGAGGCUCAACCUCGAAACUGCCGUUGAAACUGGCGAACUUGAGUGUAGAUGAGGUAGGCGGAAUUCGUGGUGUAGCGGUGAAAUGCAUAGAUAUCACGCAGAACUCCGAUUGCGAAGGCAGCUUACUAAGGUACAACUGACGCUGAAGCACGAAAGCGUGGGUAUCAAACAGGAUUAGAUACCCGUGUAGUC